CAUCAAAUGGUAAGUGCGGUACCAGAGAAUAAUGUGUGCACUGCGUUCCUUAUCUAUCAAAUACACUCUUCUUUUAUGUGACUCUGGUAGCAAACCAUUAUGAAAGCCGGCUAUUGCAAAAUGAAGAUAUCCAUCAUCUGCAUGCACAACUUAGGGAUUUCAAACGAAAUCAUUGAUAAGUUUGUUAGUAGACAGAAGCAAACCACUGUUGUGUAGUUUGAUGUAGUGAGAAUAGAGGAAGCUCAGCAGGAGGGGCUUCAGGGAGGGCAGUGCGAACUUAAGUGUAGCUAGAUGUCACUCAGCAAAAUCACACCUUUGGAGUUCGCUUUAGUGCAGGGCUGGUGUUAUAUGCAAGUGCUUUGAAUCUUGAUUUGUGUAGUUCUGCUUUUCAUUGUGUAAUGUGGACAGCCAGAGAGUGCAAAUGCCAUGUUAUCUGUCUUUUUCAGAUGAGAAUUUGAUGCCUGGAAACAUAUGAGAGAUAGAAAAGCUAUGCAGACAUGACAGGUGCAGGUGCAAGUGCCAGUGACUGGGUGAAACGAAAGCUAAAUCAGCAUAUUCGCAAUAAACACAGGAAAUCAGGUCAGGAUCCCACCAAAGUUCGUGCAUCCAACAUACCUGAAUCUCAUUAUUUUGAGGAGGACGAUCCAUUAAGAAGAACAGCCUCAGAGCCAAUUCUGAAGCUGCGACCAAAGAGAAUUGCAUCAGGAAGACAGAACCCACUGCAGCGUAAAACCACUGCGCCCCCUGCUGUCAGAGCAUUUGACUCUAUGGGAUGAAUCUCCUCUACACAUCGGCAUUCAGAACCCCAUGCUCUGGAAUAGAAAUGCACAGCCCGUAUUUACCUUGCCUCCACCUGUUGUCGCAGGUAACACACAUUAACUAAUCUUGAAACCAAAAAAUUUGUGUAAAUGACAAAAAAAGCGUAAUUUGCUA
ensembl:lncRNA